rnacentral:sRNA from 1 species
AGAUGUGAACUUUGUCCCCAUAAGGAUGGAGCUUUAAAAAGAACAGAUAAUGGGGGUUGGGCCCAUGUGGUUUGUGCCCUGUAUAUUCCAGAGGUACAAUUUGCCAAUGUUUCCACAAUGGAACCAAUUGUUUUACAGUCUGUUCCGCAUGAUCGUUAUAAUAAGGUACAGUGGAUGUUAUUUUAUUACUGUUUGAAUAUCACUACUGGGAAGUAGAAAGGAAGUUUUUGUAUUUUUAAAAUCACAGGUCUCCAUCAAAUUCAGGGAGAUUUGGUAAAAAAAUUACUAUGCCAAACUAUAGUCAUUA